CGGUGGUGGAUUAGUGGCGAACGGGUGAGUAACACGUGGGCAAUCUGCCCUUCACUCUGGGACAAGCCCUGGAAACGGGGUCUAAUACCGGAUAACACUCUGUCCCGCAUGGGACGGGGUUGAAAGCUCCGGCGGUGAAGGAUGAGCCCGCGGCCUAUCAGCUUGUUGGUGGGGUAAUGGCCUACCAAGGCGACGACGGGUAGCCGGCCUGAGAGGGCGACCGGCCACACUGGGACUGAGACACGGCCCAGACUCCUACGGGAGGCAGCAGCG
rnacentral:rRNA from 1 species